ACAACUGCAAUCGAUUUCAGAAAAAAAAACUACAAUGACGCAACCCCCAAUCCUCACCGAAACUGCCCCCGCGAUACCGUCUCGGGCGCUCUCCCUGCCGCCGGCACAACGCCCUCGUCGUCGCGCUCUUCGUCAGAGCGGCGUGCGCUGGAAGCCGGAGCCGGGAAGUAGUGUGGCCACCAGCGGGAGACAAGGGGAGGCGUGGUCGUGCUCUCUCUGGUCGGCGAUGGAGGCCGCGCGCGAGCCCGCGGCGCGGCGGCUCCCGCUCCCCCUCGCCUCUUCGAGUCUUCGGCCACACCGGUUUCCUCCCAAAGCACGAAGUGGGAACAUGUGUGGCGGCCGCUGGCGAACGAGGCCGCACGCGAGCCCGCGACACGGCGGCGCGGAAGCCUCUUUCCCCUGCCGGUUUGAAAUCCGCACCGUCGUCGGCCAGGUAACUGCUCCCCUCCGGUUAGGCCCGGGCUUGGGCAUGUGCAGAUGGUGCGAGCAAUCACCAAGCCAUCCGCGAUUCGUUGAUCCCUACGAUUCACUCUCUAAUUUGCAUCGGUCAGUAAAAAAUCCUCCUCUAUAAGGGGAACAGGUUGCUUUGUUUUGUAUUCCAUCUAAUUUGUGCUUUAAUUCUUUUUGGGCUCUACUAAUUUUCCAUAUGCUCCAGUUGAGAGAGCAAGAGAAGGUUAGUACUGCUCCAUUAUCUACUAAUUCCGGCAAUCAAGGUCAAUAGAGGUUACAUCAAUCAGGGUCAGUAAUCAGUGUUACUGAUUUCAUAGAAGACAUGUAUAGCAGUACUACUCCAUCGGCAAGCGUUCGUUGCUGGAUUUCUUUCACGCCUAUGUGGUGAUGUGCGCCUGUGCCAUGGUCGCUCUCCCUCCUAGCCUGCUUCUCCAGGUUUGAUUUUUUAAGUUUCAUGCCUUUGUGUUUUAUAAGAUGUCAUCCCGAAAGUAUUUGUAACAUGAAAAACCAAAGAAAGAGAAGAUUAGCAGGUGAGUUUAUAAAUUCUCAAAAGGAAGUCAUUGAAGAAAUUUUAGGACAAAUAUAAGUUCUAAUUGGAACUUGAACCGGCAAUGGUACUGAAUCUUCCGUUUAUGGAUCCUAUGUUUUCUUUUUCUUGGUUUCCUUUCCCGAAUAUGAAAUCUGUGGUUUGUGUACUUCUUAUAAACAGAGAUGUGCUGCUCCUUCUGCAUACUUUUAUUCUGUUCUUAAGAAUUUGACUGUAUUUAAGUGUUUUUUUUUGCCAGAUCGUUGUUUCAUGCAGGUGCACUUUUUUCAGAAUCAGGAGCUUUUCUGGACUGAAUAAGUAGAGUUAUAGUCAUGCUGAAGGCUGAAAACGAAGCUAGGAUUCAUAUUUAUCCAAGCACACCUUUGCCGCUCAGGCAAAGCAUUUUUUGCACACAGGUGACUGGAAUUUUCAGCCACGUCGGUCGACAUGUGCCUGAGAAGUAGGUGAGAUGGAGCUAACGCUGAGAUGGAGGCGACACUGCCUGCCGCGGCGUCUCCAAGAUGCAGAGCUAGGACCUGGAUGGAGGCAGGGCCGAUGCAACUUGUGGUGGCGUCUCCAAGAUGAUGUUCUAGGACCUGGACGGAGGCAGGGAAGACGCAACUUGUCUUGGCGUUGUCGGCAGAGGACAUGCAGCGGGUUGUAGGGUUCUGGUGGAGGUCGGUUAGAGGGAUGACCGGUGGCAGCAGCGGCAACUCGGGCAGAUCAGGGCGGCGAGGCUGCAGAGUGGGUGUUCGUGUUUGGUGGCGUGUGCCUAGAGAAAGAAGGUGACAGUCCGUUGGAUGCAUAAUAUGUGAGGGUGGAGGGAAAACUGACUGAAAAAUAAUCUUUUCAAGCCUGAAAUAGUCGCUCUCAAUUGUAACCAUAGAAGCUUGGCACGGUUUUGAAAAACCAGAGUUGCCUGUGUGUUGUAUAUAGGACUGAGUUUUUUCUUGCAACUUUAAGGCCUUUAUUUUGAUCUAUCUUGAA